CUGCCACACCUAUUAUUUUUAUUCCCACCUUCCUUUUACUGCAUUGCAGAGGUUAAUAGGUAACCUUUGGAAAUAUAAGUUUUUUUUUUUUUUUUUUUUUUUUUUUUUUUUUUUUUUUAUGGUCAAGAAAACUGGUUGGUAGAGUCCAAAGGUGCCAGAAUCCUUCUGAGCACUGCUGACAGAUUUAAGAACUUGCAUGUGGAUUUCAGCAGGGUGCAGCUGCGUUUGUGGAAAUCUAAAGCAGUACUAUUGAAAUGCAGGUCUGCAUUUCGGUUCGACACAAUUGGUAGUUCAUUUAGAUGCUUCUGUAGGUAUGGGGCUGACAGCAGUCAUCUUCCUCUUGGUGUUGGCAUCUAGACACCAGCCCACUGCAGGUAAUUUUGCUCUGUAAUGGAUGAAUUUUCCUCUGUGCUGAAUUCUUUUAUGGGACUAUGAAUAAUACAUAGGAUGAUACCCAUAACUCUUUUCCUCUCCAGAAGGUCCGGUUUUUGAUGAUUUAUUUCAAUUUCAGGAAGCACAGAUGCAUGUUCUGGGAUUGAAACUGAGCAUCUGAGUGCUCAGUUGUAUCUGAGCCUGUGUAGUUGAUAGAAGACAGGCAUAAUGUAAUUAAUUUAUCCUACAGUACUCUUCCAAAGGAAUUAAUCAUGUGUAGGGAGUGCAGUUUCUCCACGUUUUCUCUGCAAAAUGAUUGCCUCAGGGAAAUGCAUAUAUUUUAAAUGGCCAAAACUUGAUGAGAUGAAUAAACUCAGCUAACCUAAGUAGCUGAACCUAACUCUUACCCUAAGCCCUAACUUGAACCCCAUCCUAAACUGUAAUUCUGAACCCUAAACACUAAUACUAACCGUAUCUUAACUGUAACUGUGGCAGUUGUGCACAAGUACUUGAUUCUGGUCACUUAAAAAAGAGAUAGCUUUUAAUAACUUCCUUUUCAAGCUCAUUCAUGAUGUUUAAUUCUCAAGCUUGUCCUCUACAAUCUGGUUG
rnacentral:lncRNA from 7 species